AGGACUGAAGCUCAGCAGUGGAGCAUCUGCUUUGCAUACAGAAGGGCCCCCAGGUUCAGUUCCUGGUAGCUCCA